GAUGAACGCUGGCGGCGUGCCUAAUACAUGCAAGUCGAGCGAUCUUCUUCGGAAGAGAGCGGCGGACGGGUGAGUAACGCGUGGGUAACCUGCCCUGUACACACGGAUAACAUACCGAAAGGUAUGCUAAUACGGGAUAAUAUAUGAGAGUCACAUGACUUUUAUAUCAAAGUUUUUGCGGUACAGGAUGGACCCGCGUCUGAUUAGCUAGUUGGUAAGGUAACGGCUUACCAAGGCAACGAUCAGUAGCCGACCUGAGAGGGUGAUCGGCCACACUGGAACUGAGACACGGUCCAGACUCCUACGGGAGGCAGCAGUGGGGAAUAUUGCACAAUGGGCGAAAGCCCGAUGCAGCAACGCCGCGUGAGCGAUGAAGGCCUUCGGGUCGUAAAGCUCUGUCCUCAAGGAAGAUAAUGACGGUACUUGAGGAGGAAGCCCCGGCUAACUACGUGCCAGCAGCCGCGGUAA
rnacentral:rRNA from 1 species